ACGAACGCUGGCGGCGCGCCUAACACAUGCAAGUCGAACGGAGUUAUUUUCUUCACUCCGAGCUUUUUGCCAGUUAGCCGGAGCGGCAAUCGGUUUUGCCCAGCAUAAAAAGCAAAACCGAUUUAGGCUCAUAAAGUAAGGCUAACACAGAGGGCAGAGAGUUGGGAGUGAAGAAAAUAACUUAGUGGCGAACGGGUGAGUAACGCGUGAGUAACCUGCCCUGGAGUGGGGGACAACAGUUGGAAACGACUGCUAAUACCGCAUAAGCCCACGAUCCGGCAUCGGAUUGAGGGAAAAGGAUUUAUUCGCUUCAGGAUGGACUCGCGUCCAAUUAGCUAGUUGGUGAGGUAACGGCCCACCAAGGCGACGAUUGGUAGCCGGACUGAGAGGUUGAACGGCCACAUUGGGACUGAGACACGGCCCAGACUCCUACGGGAGGCAGCAGUGGGGGAUAUUGCACAAUGGGGGAAACCCUGAUGCAGCGACGCCGCGUGGAGGAAGAAGGUUUUCGGAUUGUAAACUCCUGUCGUUAGGGACGAUAAUGACGGUACCUAACAAGAAAGCACCGGCUAACUACGUGCCAGCAGCCGCGGUAAAACGUAGGGUGCAAGCGUUGUCCGGAAUUACUGGGUGUAAAGGGAGCGCAGGCGGACCGGCAAGUUGGAAGUGAAAACUAUGGGCUCAACCCAUAAAUUGCUUUCAAAACUGCUGGCCUUGAGUAGUGCAGAGGUAGGUGGAAUUCCCGGUGUAGCGGUGGAAUGCGUAGAUAUCGGGAGGAACACCAGUGGCGAAGGCGACCUACUGGGCACCAACUGACGCUGAGGCUCGAAAGCAUGGGUAGCAAACAGGAUUAGAUACCCUGGUAGUCCAUGCCGUAAACGAUGAUUACUAGGUGUUGGAGGAUUGACCCCUUCAGUGCCGCAGUUAACACAAUAAGUAAUCCACCUGGGGAGUACGACCGCAAGGUUGAAACUCAAAGGAAUUGACGGGGGCCCGCACAAGCAGUGGAGUAUGUGGUUUAAUUCGAAGCAACGCGAAGAACCUUACCAGGUCUUGACAUCCGAUGCAUAGCGCAGAGAUGCGUGAAGUCCUUCGGGACAUCGAGACAGGUGGUGCAUGGUUGUCGUCAGCUCGUGUCGUGAGAUGUUGGGUUAAGUCCCGCAACGAGCGCAACCCUUAUUGCCAGUUACUACGAAAGAGGACUCUGGCGAGACUGCCGUUGACAAAACGGAGGAAGGUGGGGAUGACGUCAAAUCAUCAUGCCCUUUAUGACCUGGGCUACACACGUACUACAAUGGCGUUUAACAAAGAGAAGCAAGACCGCGAGGUGGAGCAAAACCCUAAAAGGCGUCUUAGUUCAGAUUGCAGGCUGCAACUCGCCUGCAUGAAGGUGGAAUUGCUAGUAAUCGCGGAUCAGCAUGCCGCGGUGAAUACGUUCCCGGGCCUUGUACACACCGCCCGUCACACCAUGAGAGUCGGGAACACCCGAAGUCCGUAGCCUAACCGCAAGGGGGGCGCGGCCGAAGGUGGGUUCGAUAAUUGGGGUG
rnacentral:rRNA from 1 species